UACGGAGGGUGCAAGCGUUAUCCGGAUUCACUGGGUUUAAAGGGUGCGUAGGCGGGCAGGCAAGUCCGUGGUGAAAUCUCUGAGCUUAACUCAGAAACUGCCAUGGAUACUAUUUGUCUUGAAUAUUGUGGAGGUGAGCGGAAUAUGUCAUGUAGCGGUGAAAUGCUUAGAUAUGACAUAGAACACCAAUGGCGAAGGCAGCUCACUACACAGUUAUUGACGCUGAGGCACGAAAGCGUGGGGAGCAAACAGG
rnacentral:rRNA from 1 species